ACGGUCUUCGGACCGUGCAUUAAACAAACGCUUUCACAUACAGAGAAAAUUAGCAUGGUCUCUGAGCAAGAAUGACACGCGUAAUUUGAAGAGUGAAGCACCUUUUU